GAUGAACGCUGGCGGCGUGCCUAACACAUGCAAGUCGAGCGAACACACGAUGAGAUUGUUCCUCUGACGUUAGCGGGGGGCGGACGAGUAAGAAGUAGAUCACCUUCCUCUAUGUCGUGGGUGAUUACGGAGAAACACUGAUAAUAAUAGCUCAUAUAACGUACCGCUUGGAUCAAUAGUUCAUGGCACUUUUCGCGAUUCUAUUAGCUGGUUCCGGGUGGUCUUAGCUAGUGGGUAAGGUAACGGCCUACCAAGGCAACGAUGCGUAGCUGACAUGAGAGGAUGAUCGGCCACACUGGAACUGAGACACGGUCCAGACUCCUACGGGAGGCAGCAGUAGGGAAUCUUGCACAAUGGGCGAAAGCCUGACGCAGCAAUGCCGCGUGAGUGAUGAAGGUCUUCGGGUCGUAAAGCUCUUUUGUUGGGAAAGAAAAGAAGUGGAAGAAUCUAUGGCCGUCUUGACGGUACCUAAACAGAAAGCCACGGCUAACUACGUG
rnacentral:rRNA from 1 species